GUCACAUCAGACAGUACAUAUUCUAAAAUUAGAACAAUACAGAAAAGAUACGCAUGGCCCCUGCUCAAGGAUGACACGCAAAUUGGUGAAGCGUUCUAUGUUUUU